UUUCUUUUUUUUAUUGGAUUUGACAACUGAAUCUUUGUUGUUGUUAACCAUCAGCAAAAAAAAAGUAGUGCGGCUCAACCCAGGCAACCAGCUUGUUUUAACUAUCUAAAACUUGAUUUUGCUUGAUGUUUGGCGUGCAAAUUGAUGUUCGGUUCCACGGUGGUCCAGCCCAGCCCAACCUCCACUGAGUAGCAUUACCAGCGGCAUUCCAUGAUUACGGACAAUCUCGUACCUCCCGCCCACACCAUUGCCGAUAAUAUCCAGUACGAUCUCGGAGGGUCAUCUUUCAGCGCAUUGGUGCCGGCGUUGAGGAUUAGCCAGUUUGGUCGAAAACUGAUAGAAACGACAGUACCAGAUUCUCAACGCAGAUGCUGCUCAUCUCCCAGGAAGAGCUUCAGCCCAACCGUCCUCUUGAUCGCCAGCUCUGCCUUGUAGAUAAUCAAUAAUAAAGAUAAUAAGAAUAAUCAAUUUACA
rnacentral:lncRNA from 1 species